AAAAUCCGUCGAUUUAAAAAAUCGUGAGG
rnacentral:tRNA from 13 species